rnacentral:sRNA from 1 species
GCUGGGUGUGGUGGCGCACGCCUGUAAUCCUAGCAACUCAGGAGGCUGAGACAGGAGGAUCAAGAACUCAAAGCCGGCCUCAGCAAUGGCGAGGUACUAAACAACUCAAUGAGACCCUGUCUCUA